rnacentral:tRNA from 2 species
CGGAGCGUAGCGCAGCCUGGUAGCGCAUCUGUUUUGGGUACAGAGGGUCGGGAGUUCAAAUCUCUCCGCUCCGACCA